CGAGUUCUCGUUGAUGAUCGGUGCUUGCACCGAGAUUCAACAUGGAACGAGUGGCGGACGGGUGAGUAACACGUGGGUAACCUGCCCUUAAGUGGGGGAUAACAUUUGGAAACAGAUGCUAAUACCGCAUAGAUCCAAGAACCGCAUGGUUCUUGGCUGAAAGAUGGCGUAAGCUAUCGCUUUUGGAUGGACCCGCGGCGUAUUAGCUAGUUGGUGAGGUAAUGGCUCACCAAGGCGAUGAUACGUAGCCGAACUGAGAGGUUGAUCGGCCACAUUGGGACUGAGACACGGCCCAAACUCCUACGGGAGGCAGCAGUAGGGAAUCUUCCACAAUGGACGCAAGUCUGAUGGAGCAACGCCGCGUGAGUGAAGAAGGCUUUCGGGUCGUAAAACUCUGUUGUUGGAGAAGAAUGGUCGGCAGAGUAACUGUUGUCGGCGUGACGGUAUCCAACCAGAAAGCCACGGCUAACUACGUGCCAGCAGCCGCGGUAAUACGUAGGUGGCAAGCGUUAUCCGGAUUUAUUGGGCGUAAAGCGAGCGCAGGCGGUUUUUUAAGUCUGAUGUGAAAGCCCUCGGCUUAACCGAGGAAGCGCAUCGGAAACUGGGAAACUUGAGUGCAGAAGAGGACAGUGGAACUCCAUGUGUAGCGGUGAAAUGCGUAGAUAUAUGGAAGAACACCAGUGGCGAAGGCGGCUGUCUGGUCUGUAACUGACGCUGAGGCUCGAAAGCAUGGGUAGCGAACAGGAUUAGAUACCCUGGUAGUCCAUGCCGUAAACGAUGAAUGCUAGGUGUUGGAGGGUUUCCGCCCUUCAGUGCCGCAGCUAACGCAUUAAGCAUUCCGCCUGGGGAGUACGACCGCAAGGUUGAAACUCAAAGGAAUUGACGGGGGCCCGCACAAGCGGUGGAGCAUGUGGUUUAAUUCGAAGCAACGCGAAGAACCUUACCAGGUCUUGACAUCUUUUGAUCACCUGAGAGAUCAGGUUUCCCCUUC
rnacentral:rRNA from 2 species